GACGAACGCUGGCGGCGUGCCUAAUACAUGCAAGUAGAACGCUGAAGGAGGAGCUUGCUUCUCUGGAUGAGUUGCGAACGGGUGAGUAACGCGUAGGUAACCUGCCUGGUAGCGGGGGAUAACUAUUGGAAACGAUAGCUAAUACCGCAUAAGAGUAGAUGUCGCAUGACAUUUGCUUAAAAGGUGCAAUUGCAUCACUACCAGAUGGACCUGCGUUGUAUUAGCUAGUUGGUGAGGUAACGGCUCACCAAGGCAACGAUACAUAGCCGACCUGAGAGGGUGAUCGGCCACACUGGGACUGAGACACGGCCCAGACUCCUACGGGAGGCAGCAGUAGGGAAUCUUCGGCAAUGGACGGAAGUCUGAACGAGCAACGCCGCGUGAGUGAAGAAGGUUUUCGGAUCGUAAAGCUCUGUUGUAAGAGAAGAACGAGUGUGAGAGUGGAAAGUUCACACUGUGACGGUAUCUUACCAGAAAGGGACGGCUAACUACGUG
rnacentral:rRNA from 1 species